rnacentral:rRNA from 1 species
GCUCUUUCUUGGUUCAGUGGGUGGUGGUGCAUGGCAGUUCUAAGUUGGUGGAGCGAUUUGUCUGGUUAAUUCCGAUAACGAACGAGACUCUGGCCUACUAAAUAGACGUCAAAUCUUUUAUAGGUUUGUCGUAUGCUUCUUAGAGGGACGGGCGGCGUUUAGCCGCACGAGAAUGAGCAAUAACAGGUCUGUGAUGCCCUUAGAUGUUCUGGGCCGCACGCGCGCUACACUGAAGAAAUCAGCGUGUGUUCCUCAUCCGAAAGGAUUGGGUAACCCGUUGAACCUUCUUCGUGAUGGGGAUUGGGGAUUGCAAUUAUUCCCC